AAUUCGAUGAUACGCGAGGAACCUUACCUGGCUUAAAUGUAGAGUGCAUUUUUUAGAGAUAGAAAUUCCCUUCGGGCUUUCUGCAAGGUGCUGCAUGGUUGUCGUCAGCUCGUGCCGUGAGGUGUCGGGUUAAGUCCCAUAACGAGCGCAACCCUUAUCGUUAGUUGCCAGCUGGUAAAGCAGGGGACUCUAGCGAAACUGCCACCGUAAGGUGAGAGGAAGGUGGGGAUGACGUCAAAUCAUCAUGCCCCUUAUGUUCUGGGCCACACACGUGCUACAAUGGCCGGUACAGACGGAGGCGAAGCCGCGAGGCGGAGCAAAUCCGAAAAAGCCGGUCUCAGUUCGGAUUGCAGGCUGCAAUUCGCCUGCAUGAAGUCGGAAUCGCUAGUAAUCGCAGGUCAGCAUACUGCGGUGAAUACGUUCCCGGGCCUU
rnacentral:rRNA from 1 species